AAGAUAUUGCUUUUUAGAUUCCAAAAAAACAUGUAAAGCUAAAGGGUCAGGAAAUAGGUAGCAAAAGAAGGUAAAGCAGACAAGACACACUUGUGUAAUCGACAAAAUAUAUCAGCAUAAGGAUUACAAGAAGGAAAUAGAUCUAGUGUAGAAUUAAAUCCAUGAGAUCCAAUUAUUAUGAUUCACAAGGGCUUAACGAGUUAAGCAUCAACAGUCGAUCUUCUAUGAAAUAGUAUGAGCAUCAACUGCUAUCAAGAAUUGUAUUUUGUUGGAUAUAGCUCAUAUUUACUGAUAAGUGUGCAGCUCACUCAAAUGAUGAGUAUCCCUAUGCUUGUAAGCUGGACCAUAGUAUUUAAGACCAAGCUGUAAUCUCCAUAAGCAUGAACAAUAGAAUGGAAUUGCAGUCACCCUAAGGUCAGAGACAUAGACAAUUGGCUAAAUUAUGUGACGAAAACGUGACAUGUCAAAGAAAAGGGAAAUUACAGAGCAGAAGCUCCCAGCUCAGAGAUGAGUCUCUAGCCUAGACAGUUCAAUUAUCAUUUCAGAAUAUCCUAUCACUCUUCCCCUUGUUGCCUACAAAACAAACCUCCUUAUUCUCUACUAGGUCGAUAAUCCUAGUGUUUCCCGACGAGAUCCCGUUGUCUCGGUGCGGUGCAGUGCUUGACCACAACGGAGUGGUCCGCGACAGCGUGAAACAAGAUCACGGUGAGAUCCCGCUAUCCUGGCAUAGUUAAUCCCAGCGCUUUCCAGCAAGACCCCGCUAUUAUUUCUUGCUUCUCUAUUUUGUUAUUUCAACUUUCACUUAGGAAGAAGAGGAAGAAGAAUAUGAAAAUGAAGAUGAUGCUUAUCUUUGAUUCCUGUGCUAGAACAUGCAUUUGAGUAUUAAUAUUUAGUUAUUUUAUUACUUUGUGUUAAAGACUUCAAUAUGCAUCAUCUUUAUUUUCCUUGACUUUUGUUGGUAUUUCAAUGUAUGUUUUGACUAAGAGUAAGACUUGUGGAUUUUUA